UACGAAGGGUGCAAGCGUUACUCGGAAUUACUGGGCGUAAAGGGUGCGUAGGUGGUUCUUUAAGUCUGCUGUGAAAGCCCCGGGCUCAACCUGGGAAUGGCAGUGGAUACUGGAGAGCUAGAGUGCGGUAGAGGGUAGUGGAAUUCCCGGUGUAGCAGUGAAAUGCGUAGAGAUCGGGAGGAACACCUGUGGCGAAAGCGGCGCACUGGACCACAACUGACGCUGAGGCGCGAAAGCUAGGGGAGCAAACAGG
rnacentral:rRNA from 1 species